GGGCGUGUAGCUCAGGGGUGAGAGCAACGGCCUUAUAAGCCGACGGUCGGUGGUUCGAUUCCAUCCACGCCUA
rnacentral:tRNA from 1 species